ACCCCUCCUUUCUCUGCCUCGAGCACGCACGGCACGGUGCGGCGCGCACGCACGCACGCUUCUCAACUCCCCCAGGUCUCCGCGACCGCGAGGCCAGAAGUGGGAGGAGGCGACCCCGACUCUGCCCACUCGCCACCCCACCCCCGCCCCCCUCCUUCUCCACCACCCCGCGUCGCCGAUCGAGAACCCUAGUUCGGGGUUGCGGCCUCGCCCCUCCCGCCCUGCCGCCGCCGCCGUCGCUGCUCGAGCUCGGCCGGCCCGCCGCGAUGGAUCUGUCCAACCUGACCCUGGUGCUGCGCGCGGCGCUCAGCCACGCCCCCGAGGAGCGCAAAGCCGCUGAGGCCAGCCUCGAGCAGCUUCAGUAUACGCAACAACAUCUGGUGAGAUUGUUACAGAUCAUCGUAGAUGGAAGUUGUGAUAUGGCUGUGAGACAGGUCGCAAGCAUUCACUUCAAGAACUUUGUUUCAAAAGCCUGGUCACCUAUUGAUCCUGAUGAAACACGUAAAAUUCCAGAAGGUGACAAGUCUAUGGUUCGUGAGAAUAUACUGGGCUUUGUUACUCAAUUGCCUCCACUGCUAAGAGCACAGCUUGGAGAAAGUAUCAAGACCUUGAUCCUUGCGGAUUACCCUGAGCAUUGGCCUAGUCUUCUACAUUGGGUUACACAUAACAUGGAAUCACAGGAUCAAAUUUUCGGAGCACUUUAUGUGCUAAGGAUCCUAUCCCGGAAAUAUGAGUUCAAGUCAGAGGAGGAAAGGAUACCUUUGUAUCAAAUUGUUGAGGAGUGUUUUCCUCGUUUGUUGAAUAUAUUCAGCACACUUGUCCAGAUUGCCAAUCCUCCAAUUGAAGUUGCUGACUUGAUCAAGCUGAUCUGCAAAAUAUUCUGGUCCUCAAUUUAUCUAGAAAUUCCAAAGCAACUGUUUGAACCAAACAUCUUCAAUGCAUGGAUUGUUCUAUUCUUAAACUUGUUGGAAAGGCCAGUUCCAUUGGAAGGGCAACCAUCGGAUCCUGACGCUAGGAAAGCUUGGGGCUGGUGGAAAGUCAAGAAAUGGAUUACCCAUAUCUUGAACCGUUUAUACAGUCGGUUUGCUGAUAUGAAGGUUCAUAAACCAGAGAGUAAAGCUUUUGCUCAAAUGUUUCAAAAGAACUAUGCUGGAAAAAUUCUGGGAUGCCAUCUACAGUUGCUCAAUGCAAUUCGCACUGGUGGCUAUUUGCCUGAUAGGGUUAUCAAUCUUAUCCUUCAAUAUCUCACCAACAGUCUCACAAAGAACAGCAUGUAUCAGCUGAUGCAACCACAAAUCGACAUAAUUCUUUUUGAGAUAAUAUUUCCACUAAUGUGCUUCAAUGACAAUGACCAAAUGUUAUGGGAUGAAGAUCCGCAUGAGUAUGUUCGGAAAGGCUAUGAUAUAAUUGAAGAUUUGUAUAGUCCUCGAACAGCUGCUAUGGAUUUUGUCAGCGAAUUGGUAAGAAAACGGGGGAAAGGCAACCUACAAAAGUUUAUCCAAUUCAUUGUGGAGAUAUUCAUGAGGUAUAAUGAGGCAUCAAUUGAAGUGAAGCCCUAUCGCCAAAAAGAUGGUGCCCUUCUUGCCAUUGGGACAUUAUGUGAUAGGCUGAAACAAACUGAUCCGUACAAGGCUGAGCUAGAGCGAAUGUUAGUUCAGCAUGUCUUUCCAGAGUUCAGUAGUCAUGUUGGACAUUUGCGUGCGAAGGCAGCAUGGGUGGCAGGGCAGUAUGCGCACAUCACCUUCUCAGACCAGGACAAUUUUCGCAAAGCUAUGCAUUGUGUUAUCUCUGGUUUGCGUGAUCCAGAACUUCCUGUCAGGGUCGAUUCAGUCUUUGCUCUCCGUUCUUUCGUUGAAGCAUGCAAGGAUCUGGAUGAGAUCCGUCCUAUCCUUCCACAGCUUCUUGAUGAAUUUUUUAAGCUUAUGGGUGAAGUUGAGAAUGAGGAUCUUGUUUUCACUCUCGAGACAAUUGUUGAUAGAUUUGGUGAAGAGAUGGCACCAUAUGCCCUUGGCUUGUGCCAGAGUUUGGCUGCUGCCUUCUGGAGAUGCAUGGCUAGUUCAGAAGCUGAUGAUGAAGUAGAGGACUCUGGUGCUUUGGCUGCUGUUGGUUGCUUACGUGCUUUAAGCACAAUCCUUGAGUCCAUUAGCAGUCUUCCCCAUCUUUUUAUCCAAAUAGAGCCCACUCUGUUGCCUAUUUUGCGCAGGAUGUUGACUUCGGAUGGUCAAGAUGUUUAUGAAGAGGUUCUAGAAAUAGUGUCCUAUCUGACCUUUUACUCACCAACAAUUUCUUUGGACAUGUGGAGCUUGUGGCCAUUGAUGAUGGAGGCUCUUAAUGAUUGGGCCAUUGAUUUCUUUGAGAAUAUUCUUGUCCCACUAGACAAUUACAUUUCUCGUGGCACUGAACAUUUUGUUACCUGCAAAGAUCCUGAUUAUCAACAAAGCUUAUGGAAAGGACUGUCAUCUGUUAUGACAGACCAAAAUAUGGAAGAUUCAGAUAUUGUGCCGGCACCCAAGCUCAUUGAAGUGUUUUUUCAAAACUGCAAAGGGCAAGUUGAUCAUUGGGUUGAGCCGUAUCUCAGGCUUACGAUUGAUAGGCUCCGUCGAGCAGAGAAGCCUUAUCUGAAAUCUCUCCUUGUGCAAGUGAUAGCUAACGUAUUCUACUACAAUCCCUCGUUGACACUUGCAAUGUUGCACAAACUUGGAGUUGCGACAGAAAUUUUCAAUCUUUGGUUUGUCAUGUUACAACAAGUGAAAAAAAGUGGCAAGAGGGUGAACUUCAAAAGAGAGCAUGACAAGAAAGUCUGCUGCUUAGGAUUGACUUCACUUAUUGGCCUUCCAGCUAAUCAUAUUCCAGCAGAGGCUCUAGAACGCAUUUUCAAGGCAACACUUGAGCUGCUUGUUGCAUACAAGGAGCAAGUUGCAGAAUCUAAGAGGCAAAAUGAUGCUGCUGAUGAUGAUGUGGAUGAAUUUGAUGCUGAUGAAGAAGAGAAUGAGGAGGAUGAGGAUGAUGGGGAGAUGGGGGUUGAUGACGAAGAUCAGGAUGAAGUAAAUAGUCUUAAUAUACAGAAACUAGUACAGCACCCUGUGAUCACUCUUUACACCCUUGUGGUAAUUCAGGCAAGAGGUUUUCAGCUCCAUGAUGAGGAUGAUGAUGAUGAUGAUUCUGAUGAUGAUUUUAGUGAUGACGAGGAGCUGCAGACCCCGAUAGAUGAGGUUGAUCCAUUUAUCUUCUUUGUUGGAACCAUCCAAGCUGUACAAGCAUCCGACCCAGCCAGGUUCCAGAGCCUUAUGCAAACACUGGAUUUUCACUACCAGGCACUGGCUAAUGGCGUUGCUCAACAUGCCGAGGAAAGAAAAGUUGAAAUUGAGAAAGAGAAGUUGGAGAAAGCAAAUGCACAGUGAUGAAUGAAUUAUAGCAACGGUUGUUUGUCUUGAGUUUUGUUGCAGGCCAGUGCCUGUGAUUUGGUGAUCGCAGGCAAUGGGUUUUUGCAGCCUUGGUCUACUUGUUUUUGGAGGCCUGAGGCACACAAUUCUUGGAAUAGAAGAAGUCAACAACAGAACCAUCGUGGGAUAAUCUCUUGCAGCCUCGGUCUAUUUGUUUAUGGGCGGUGCGAGCCCUACGGAUGAUACUACACACUUGUUAUGAUGCUGUUUUGGUCCAGAGCUCCGGCUCCGUUUGGUUGAUGGAAUUUGUUAAAUGAGCCCUGUGGGUGGGGCGCGUCCCCAAGUUGAUUUAUAGCCUGGAAGGUCCGUGUAGAGUGUAUAUGAUUGGGCGGUUAUCGGUGGAUUACCAAUACGAUGGUUUCAUUUUUUCUUUCUGUCGUUGCAGGAUUCAGUGAAUCCAGUUUUGUCCGUACAAUUUGUUGAACAUCGCUCAAGCAUGUCUCUAUGGUUUGACAGAGGCUGGUGAAAUAAACUUUGCCUGCAUCUGGUAACCUGGAUUUGGUUAUCAUCACCACCAUGCAAUACAGUAUUUUUUUUGGGUGAUAUUUGUCGUCCGAUCAUCAUGAGCAUUCCUGAUUUGUUGCAUUCUGUACACUGCAUGACCGAGUGCAGUCAAAGGAAGAACGAAGACGGAUACUUUGAGAUCUGACCAGUAUGGCCGAGCCCAACGUGCUUUACCUAUUCGGCUUGCAUUAUAUUUGCUUCUACUUACUCUGUUCCAUUAUAAAAAAUAUGUUAAAAUAUACUUUCAUCUAUAUAGGGUUUAAUGCGUUUUUUGAGGCUAAUUUUGACCAAAUGUUAGAGCAAUAAUAUAUGACAUGCAAGUUACAUAAAGCAUAUUGUUAAAUUCGUAUGUGAAAGCAGCUUUUAAUUAUAUAAUUUUU
rnacentral:rRNA from 1 species